CUACUUCAUUCUUCCGGUAUUAUGGCCGCUUGCAGUGUAAGGGACAACGAGUGUGAAAUGUUAUGAUUGUGGAACGUUUUCGGUGAAACCGGUGGAUUAAGGAUGCUCGUGACCGUGAUGUUACGGUUUCCCGUCUGUCGGCCGUCAGUUCGGGCAGUGCUUCACUGUCAGAGGCGCUUUAGCAAGAUACAGGCAUCCACUGCUUUGUCUGAGCGCGUGCGGGUCUUUGAGUCUCUCAGAGAGAGGCAGGGACAGCAGAGGACAAGCGGCACCACGAAACAGGCCUUCAGCGUCCGAUUGGCUGAUGGCAGGACGGUGAAUGGCACCACAGGCGUGACCACGCCCUCAAUCAUCGCUCAGAACGCAUGUGUGAAAGGUGCUCUGGUCUGCAGGGUGAAUGGAGAGCUGUGGGAGCUGCUUCGCCCCCUGGAGGCUGACUGUGAACUACAGCUGCUAGGCUUCAACACCACAGAGGGCAAACAGGCGGUGUGGAGGACAGGAGCGUGUGUUGUGGGGUGGGUGUUAGAGAGGGUGUUUGGGGUGGAAGUGUGCAGAGAGGGUGUGUCAGAGUCUGGCCUCUACUGUGACCACCUCCCGGAGAACAGUGCCCUGUCCCUAGCUGAGCUAGAGGAUAGAUGUAAGGAGGCCGCUGGCCAGAAGCUUCCUCUCUCCAGGCUGGAGCUGAACAGGCAGGAAGUUACAGAGCUCUUCCAGGACAAUGCACUGAGACUCCAGUUGAUUGAAGAACAGAUGAGUGGUCCUACUGUCACAGUCUACAGGUGUGGAGACAGCAUAGGAGUCUGCAAUGGUCCUCUCCUCCCUAACACUGCUCUCCUCAAGGUCUUCAAGAUGCUGCAGGUGUCUCCCGUAACGUUGACCAAUCCUGUUGGCACGUCAGGCGUGAUGCGUGUGAUGGGUGUGGCCUUCCCAAGAGAGAAGGAGAGGGAGGAGUGGGAGAGGGAACAGGAGGAGACACGGAAGAGAGACCACAGACGCAUCGGCAAGGACCAGGAGCUGUUCUUCUUUAAUGACGUCAGUCCUGGAAGCUGCUUCUUCCUGCCUAAAGGAGCUCACAUCUACAACACACUCGCUGACUUUAUCAGGACUGAGUACAGGAGGCGUGGCUUCCAUGAGGUUGUGACCCCUACUCUAUACAGCACUGCACUGUGGGAGCGUUCGGGUCACUGGGAACACUACAGUGAAAACAUGUUUACUGUGACCGGUGACACACACACCUAUGCACUCAAACCCAUGAACUGUCCUGCACACUGUCUGAUGUUUGAGCAGCGUGUAAGGUCAUGGAGGGAGCUCCCCUUGCGUUGGGCCGAUUUCGGGGCACUGCAUCGGAACGAACUGUCCGGCGCUCUGGGUGGUCUCACCCGGGUCCGCAGGUUCUGCCAGGACGACGCACACAUCUUCUGCACUCCUGAGCAGUUGGAGGAGGAGAUCAUAGCGUGUUUGGACUUUGUGAGGAGUGUGUAUCGAGUUUUUGGAUUCUCCUUCCACUGUCUCCUCUCCACCCGACCUACACCCUGCCUGGGGGAGCCUGCACUGUGGGACCAUGCUGAGCAGCAGUUGGAGAGGAGUCUGCAGCAGUUUGGAGAGCGCUGGCAGUUCAACCCAGGAGAUGGAGCGUUCUACGGGCCGAAGAUUGACAUCCAGAUCAAGGACGCCAUUGGUCGACAGCACCAGUGUGCCACCAUCCAAUUGGACUUCCAGCUACCAAUCAGAUUUGACCUGCAGUAUGUGGGGGGGGAUGGAGAGACCCACAGACCAGUGAUGGUCCACAGAGCUGUUCUGGGAUCUCUGGAACGCAUGAUCGCUAUAUUGGCUGAGAAUUUUUCGGGGAAAUGGCCUCUGUGGUUGUCUCCAGCGCAGGUCAUGAUUAUUCCUGUAGGGGGAGGUAGUGAGUCAUAUGCGCAACAGGCUUUUUACAAGACAUUGCCAAUACAUCCUCCUGUAUGUAAUGCGCAUGUAGCCCCAGGGGAGGAGAAUCUAUCAACACUGCUGAUCUGGGGUCUGUCAUGAUGAUACAUAGCCAGGUGGUCCGACAGUUCCGUGAGGCCGGCUUCAUGGCUGACGCGGAUGAUGACCACGGUGCCACCUUAAAUAAGAAAAUCCGCUCUGCACAGCUGGCCCAGUACAACUACAUAUUUGUGGUAGGCGAGAAGGAGUGUGUGAGUGGCACGGUGAGUGUAAGGACCAGAGGGGGGAAGCAGCUAGGGAGGAGACCGACAGAGAAGGUCCUGGCAUCACUCACACACCUACGAGAUGCACGGAGCAACCAGGAUGACUUCUAACACACACACCUGUUGUGGAUGAAGAAUUGCUCACUGUACUUUUGUAAUAAAAUAUAAUAACUUAAA